GUAAUUCAUAUAAUGCUGUUAAAACUGGGGAGAACAAUUACACAGCCUGUUUCAUUAGGAAGCUGUCUGAAGUAACUGCUUUGAUUAUGGGAUACAGUGAAAACCCACAAGCUGGCAGAGAAGUCAAAAAUUUGUCCUCAUCUGCUGUCUGUGAUCCAAUCAGAUGUUUCAGCCCAGCAACUCUGGAGCAUCUCAUCCCUUCGGCAGUUUGCUCAAAAGCUGAAUUUCCUUCAAUGAGCACAAAAAUCUUAAUUUUAAAAUGAAGUCGGUGGGCAACUCGCAUCACUAUAAAUACAAACAUUCUUCGUUGCUGACGGUGCUGCCUGCACCAUCCUCCACCAGAAAGCGGAGCAGGAGCCUCCCCAAGACCCACGGUAUGAAAUAUCAGUGAGGCGGGUGAACAGAACUGAAACAGUACCGGGAGUGGCUUAGGAUAGCAGCAGCAGCAUUUGGACCGCUCGUCAUGGUGCCUGCUGUGACCUUGUGGCUGGCUCAGACCUUCUUGGAGAGAAAGUCUGCAGGAUUAAGUGAGCCUCAGAGAUGGCUGACAGCACGCACGAGGAGAAAUCGUUGUAUUAAGAAGAUACACGUGGUAGGUUGGUAGGACCUUGCUUUAAGAACCAGGAUUCCAGAGCUGGAGCAAGGAACUGAGAGCGUGCAUGGCACACUGCUGCCGACACCGUGGCUUGGCAGAGCACAACGGGUCCGUGUCCGUCUGAAGGUACAAGUGCGCUCCUUCCCAAAGGGUAAGGUGCAAUGGAGGCUUCAGCACAUCCUGGUGCCGUGAAAUCCUGCUGGGCCAGAGAUGACGGAAUGCAGCACCCCGAGGGCCAUCUGCAGCCUGACACCGAGCUGUCACUCUGCACAACUUUUCUUCUUGCACAGACUAAAGAGCAGCGUUGAAAGCCUCUUCCUGUGGGGCAAAGAGAGCAAUGAGAUACAAGAGUAAUCCUCCCGAUGCGUUCCGCUGCCUUCCCACGUCCUGAGCGGGAGCCCUUCGCUGAGGGAAAUGCCUCGCUUGUGCCAGCACCAGAUAAAGAGUCUUUUAAAGACGGAGCAUUAAAGAAAAAAAUAAAGAAAGAAAAAGGGGGAGCGGGGGUAUUUACAAGUGUGUGAAAUGGAGGCUUUAUCGGGAGUUUUCUGGGGAGAUAAGGAGCUGGGAGGGCCCAUCUCUGCGUGGCGUGGACACACUCACUGCCUUUGAGUCUCCCAGGAAAGAGCAAAAGGAGCCGCUGACAUUUCUGCUUAAAAGGAAGAAUCAAUGAAUCUUUGUUUCCCACUGCCUGCUUGUUUGACCUUAUUGUGCCGUGAAACAGAAAAGAAAGAAAAGAGAGCGGGGAAAGGGAGAGGGGAUUCGUGCUAAUAAAACCCGAGACAAGAUCACAGCCCGCUGAUCAUCGCUGGAGAUGCUAUUAUUUGGUUGUUGUCCUACUCGCUGCCGCCGCUCAUUUCGGAUUCUCGCCUUGCCGUAAUAAGUCACACUCUUUCCAGCCAUCAUCCCUGUAUUGACAGGCAAAUGUCACCCACAUUUGAUUGACGUCCAUUGCUCCUGAAUACAGAAGUA